CUACGUGCCAGCAGCCGCGGUAAUACGUAGGUGGCGAGCGUUGUCCGGAAUUAUUGGGCGUAAAGGGAGCGCAGGCGGACAUAUAAGUCCAUCUUAAAAGUGCGGGGCUCAACCCCGUGAGGGGAUGGAAACUGUAUGCCUUGAGUGCAGGAGAGGAAAGCGGAAUUCCCAGUGUAGCGGUGAAAUGCGUAGAUAUUGGGAGGAACACCAGUGGCGAAGGCGGCUUUCUGGACUGUAACUGACGCUGAGGCGCGAAAGCCAGGGGAGCGAACGGGAUUAGAUACCCCGGUAGUCCUGGCCGUAAACGAUGGGUACUAGGUGUAGGAGGUAUCGACCCCUUCUGUGCCGGAGUUAACGCAAUAAGUACCCCGCCUGGGGAGUACGACCGCAAGGUUGAAACUCAAAGGAAUUGACGGGGGCCCGCACAAGCGGUGGAGUAUGUGGUUUAAUUCGACGCAACGCGAAGAACCUUACCAGGUCUUGACAU
rnacentral:rRNA from 1 species